rnacentral:rRNA from 1 species
GAUGAACGCUAGCUACAGGCUUAACACAUGCAAGUCGAGGGGAAACGGCAUCGAAAGCUUGCUUUUGAUGGGCGUCGACCGGCGCACGGGUGAGUAACGCGUAUCCAACCUGCCCAUCACUUGGGAAUAACCUUGCGAAAGUAAGACUAAUGCCCAAUGACAUCCCACGAAGGCAUCCGAAUGGGAUUAAAGAUUUAUCGGUGAUGGAUGGGGAUGCGUCUGAUUAGCUUGUUGGCGGGGUGACGGCCCACCAAGGCAACGAUCAGUAGGGGUUCUGAGAGGAAGGUCCCCCACAUCGGAACUGAGACACGGUCCAAACUCCUACGGGAGGAAGAAGUAAGGAAUAUUGGUCAAUGGGCGGGAGACUGAACCAGCCAAGUAGCGUGCAGGAGGACGGCCCUAUGGGUUGUAAACUGCUUUUAUAAGGGAAUAAAGUGGGUCACGUGUGACUUCUUGCAUGUACCUUAUGAAUAAGGACCGGCUAAUUCCGUG